UACGUAGGGCGCAAGCGUUGUCCGGAAUUAUUGGGCGUAAAGAGCUCGUAGGCGGCCUGUUGCGUCCGCUGUGAAAUCCCGGGGCUCAACCCCGGGCCUGCAGUGGAUACGGGCUGGCUAGAGGCAGGCAGGGGAGAACGGAAUCCUGGUGUAGCGGUGAAAUGCGCAGAUAUCAGGAGGAACACCGGUGGCGAAGGCGGGUCUCUGGGCCGUAACUGACGCUGAGGAGCGAAGACGUGGGGAGCGAACAGG
rnacentral:rRNA from 1 species